ACGCUCGACACCUACGGGAGGCAGCAGUGGGGAAUAUUGCACAAUGGGGGAAACCCUGAUGCAGCGACGCCGCGUGGAGGAAGAAGGUCUUCGGAUUGUAAACUCCUGUUGUUGGGGAAAAAGNGGAUGGUACCCAACAAGGAAGUGACGGCUAACUACGUGUCAGCAGCCGCGGUAAUCUGAGCGGGCUGGCAAGC
rnacentral:rRNA from 1 species